ACGUCAAAAGAUAGUAAAAGCUCAUUCACAGGGACCGCGCAAUUGCCGAUACGGUGAGGAGACAUCGAUUGAACGUUUACGGAAGGAGUCUCCGGUGUCAGCGCACCGAUUUUUAACGAUCGAAGGUAAAGCUGUAACUCUGGGACAGCAGAGUCCACACUUUUCUCAGUACCACGACAAGCUGUUUAUUGGACCUGUCAAUAGAACCAACAAAAAAACCCAGGAGGAGUCUGUGAGUGUGUGUGUGUGUGUGUGUGUGUGUGUGUGUGUGUGUUUGUGGUCACCCACAGGCUUCCUUCAAUGUGGUCCACAAGUGGUUGUGUAUGUGGCGUUUUUUCAGUGCGCUUGACACAGCACUGUCACUUUCCUAUGUAGGGCGUCCCGUUCCAGAUUUAUUCCCUUUUGCUGUUAUGACGCGCUCCACUCUGUCUUCUGCGAAGGCGUCCCACUAGAUUUUGGGGCGUGGCCGUGGGGAUCUGCGUCCGUUCAGCUACGAGAGCGUCAGUGAGGUCGGGGUCAGGUGCUGAUGUUGAUGUGAGGACGCUCCGGUUCCAGUUCAUCCCGAAGGUGUUCAGCGGGGUUGAGGUCAGGACUCUGUGCAGGAGACGUUUACAGAGUGACGUCAAGUCAGCGUGGCUGCACACGGCGUGAGAAGCAAACAAAAGUAGCUUUUCUUUACGUUUAAAUGACAGUAUAUUGUAUACACUAGUAUGUGCUUUCGAUCCAGCGACAUACAUACAGUUCACUCGUUACAGUUAGCGGGCUGGCUUGUUGCUAACAAAAGACAAACACGGAAGCAUCCAUGUUUUUCCCACUUUGUAUGAAGAACAUACCAACGUUCAACAUUUUGUCAUUCCAACCUGCGAAUCAUCACUUACCAGGGCAGCAUUAGCCACUAAACUAAGAUACCUAAGCGCGUAAAUACAGUAGCGACACUAAUUAAUGGAAACGCAAUCAAGAAGACAUGUGACAAGGUCAUGUGAUCUGUAGUAUUCUGAUGAGACUGAUGGGUAAUGAAGUCCAGGGCAGCCAAAACCAGCGCUGAUCGUCUUUAAUCAGUGUAAAAGUUGUUCACGUUGAUAAAUCGCUGUGGUAUAAGGGGAAAGGAAACAUGUUGGGACGUGCAGUUUUUGGAAAACAGUUCAAGUCUCUGACCCCUUUGCUGUAAGGGGACGGUUUCCGAACCCGGCGAUGACACUGAGGGGGUGUUUUAAACUCCGGUAACACUGCAGGACCUGAUCAAGUGCAGCUCAUCGGACGGUACCGCAUCCGAGGCCCAGACAGCGUUCCUGAGAGAGAUUACGAAAUAACGAUCAGUUUACAGCGGUUUUUUAAACCCCUCACUAACCCGUUUAUUGGUCAAAUUAAAACCAAAAAAAUAAAGUACCGAAUACAGAAUAACGGACGUGAUGAACUUUAACGCCGAUUAUGGAAAACGCCAAAUUGUGUGCAGCCGAUAUGGAAAGCCGAGCGCCGCUACCGAGAAGGAAAACAAAACCGACCCGCAAACGCACAAACACGAAGGAACUGUUUAGGGCUAUAAAAAAAAAAAAAAAAAAAACGCUGCGGGGAAUAAAAGCCGAAAUAACAAAACUCCUUCCAAAAAAGAUUUCUGGAACGAUAGUGGAGACGUUAACGAGCUUAGAGGUGUGAGCCAGACUGAUUCACACGCUCACAAUGCUGAAAGAAAGUGUAACCACACCCAACACGCACACACACACACACACACACACACACAUGUGCGUUAAUUGCCUCACAGUUUAUGAACUUCCAAUGAACCCUGAUUUAAUCUAUAAAGAAGGUGUAUGAAUCUGAUUAUAAGGAACCGGGAGAAUCUC
ensembl:lncRNA